GACAGAGGGUGCAAACGUUGUUCGGAAUUACUGGGCGUAAAGCGUGUGUAGGCGGCUACAUAAGUCGGAUGUGAAAGCCCUGGGCUCAACCUAGGAAGUGCAUUCGAAACUUCCGAGCUUGAGUGCUGGAGAGGAAGGCGGAAUUCUCGGUGUAGAGGUGAAAUUCGUAGAUAUCGAGAGGAACACCGGUGGCGAAGGCGGCCUUCUGGACAGUAACUGACGCUGAGACGCGAAAGCGUGGGGAGCAAACAGG
rnacentral:rRNA from 1 species